AUGGCGAACUUACAUCGCAAGACAAUUACCUCAGGAUCGUCUUGCCCUCGUUGUGGCUUGUCUUCUGAGGAUGCAAUGCACCUCGCUCUACUCUGCCCAUGUGCGGCCCAGGUCAGGUCCCUCCUAGAACUCCAGGCCCCUAACCGCAUAGACCUCAUCUGGGAUACUCCUACUCCGGUAGGCCUUGACAUCAACAUUUGGCCUACCGUCACCCUCGCCGUCCUCUGGAAGCUCUGGGAUUCCAGAAACGCUCGUGUGUUCCGUAACGAGAUACACUCCUCCCUAGAUACUAUUCGGAACAUUAUCUAUGAUUUCACGCUUUGGUCCUUUAGAUUUAAGGAUCGCGUUAGUAGGGAGGCUGCCAUGUUGGCGCCUAUACAUCUCCUCUCGCUGUAA
rnacentral:rRNA from 1 species